AUCAAAUGGAGAGUUUGAUCCUGGCUCAGGAUGAACGCUGGCGGCAUGCCUAAUACAUGCAAGUCGAACGAAGUUUCGAGGAAGCUUGCUUCCAAAGAGACUUAGUGGCGAACGGGUGAGUAACACGUAGGUAACCUGCCCAUGUGUCCGGGAUAACUGCUGGAAACGGUAGCUAAAACCGGAUAGGUAUACAGAGCGCA
rnacentral:rRNA from 1 species